rnacentral:misc_RNA from 1 species
GAAAUGCGAUAAGCAAUGCGAAUUGCAGAAUUCCGCGAGUCAUCAGAUCUUUGAACGCAGCCCGCGCUGGAGAGCUAUCUCUUCAGCAUGGUUGUUUCCGUGUGUUUGGUUGACUUCACACAGCGCAAUGCGAUUGAACUCUCGCAAGGGAGGUCUCUCGUGAAAAGUCGAAGGCGUGGGACUCGCCCGCCAACGAUGUGGUCACUGUCUAACAGUGAAUUCGUUGGGCUCAUCGGACUUGUCAUUUAAGUACGUCUUAAAACAAUCAAAAAACUCUUCUUCAAUCUGCACCUGAAAUCAAGCAAGAACACCCGCUGAACUUAA